AGUGAACGCUGGCGGCAUGCCUAACACAUGCAAGUCGAACGGCAGCACAGUAAGAGCUUGCGCCUACUGGUGGCGAGGGGCGGACUGGUGAGGAAUACAUCCGAAGCUACUUUUUCGCGGGGGAUAACGUAGGCAAACUUACGCUAUGACCUCAUACUACCAACGGGGGAAAGCAGAGGAUCGUUUGACCUCGCGCGUUUGAAUGAGCCGAUGUCGGAUUAGCUAGUUGGCGGGGUAAAGGCCCACCAAGGCGACGAUCCGUAGCUGGUCUGAGAGGAUGAUCAGCCACACUGGAACUGAGACACGGUCCAGACUCCUACGGGAGGCAGCAGUGGGGAAUAUUGGACAAUGGGCGCAAGCCUGAUCCAGCCAUGCCGCGUGGGUGAAGAAGGCCUUCGGGUUGUAAAGCCCUUUUGUUAGGAAAGAAAAGGUGCAGGUUAAUACCGCGCGGUUCUGACGGUACCUAAAGAAUAAGCACCGGCUAACUUCGUG
rnacentral:rRNA from 1 species